rnacentral:rRNA from 1 species
UACGUAGGGUGCAAGCGUUAAUCGGAAUUACUGGGCGUAAAGCGUGCGCAGGCGGUUGUGUAAGACAGAUGUGAAAUCCCCGGGCUCAACCUGGAACUGCAUUUGUGACUGCACAGCUGGAGUGCGGCAGAGGGGGAUGGAAUUCCGCGUGUAGCAGUGAAAUGCGUAGAUAUGCGGAGGAACACGAUGGCGAAGGCAAUCCCCUGGGCCUGCACUGACGCUCAUGCACGAAAGCGUGGGGGAGCAAACAGG